rnacentral:rRNA from 1 species
UACGUAGGGUGCAAGCGUUGUCCGGAAUUAUUGGGCGUAAAGAGCUCGUAGGCGGUUUGUCGCGUCGAAUGUGAAAACCCGGGGGCUCAACCCCGGGCCUGCAUUCGAUACGGGCAGACUAGAGUUCGGUAGGGGAGUCUGGAAUUCCUGGUGUAGCGGUGAAAUGCGCAGAUAUCAGGAGGAACACCGGUGGCGAAGGCGGGGACUCUGGGCCGAUACUGACGCUGAGGAGCGAAAGCGUGGGGAGCAAAACAGG